rnacentral:misc_RNA from 1 species
GGGACCCAAUUAUUAGAAGGCUGAGUCAAACGCUAGGGAGAGGACAACACCCAACACCAAGCAGAGCUUGAGGGUACCAAUGACGCUCGAACAGGCAUGCCCCAUGGAAUACCAAGGGGCGCAAUGUGCGUUCAAAGAUUCGAUGAUUCACUGAAUUCUGCAAUUCACACUACUUAUCGCAUUUCGCUGCGUUCUUCAUCGAUGCCAGAACCAAGAGAUCCGUUGUUGAAAGUUGUAAUUAUUAAGUUUUUCAGACGCUGAUUGAAAAUUAAAAAGGUUAUAAAUUUGUCCAACCGGCAGGCAAGCCUGCCGAGGAAACGUGGGUACGCAAAAGACAAGGGUGGAUAAAAGAGGCCAGCUGCUCAUCAGCUUGCGCUAUACAGACUAACAGCCCCUUUUACAGUAGUAAACUACUGAGUGUAUUGAAGCGCAGCACAAAA